GACGAACGCUGGCGGCGUCCUUAACACAUCCAAGCCGAACGGAAAGGCCCUGCUUUUGUGGGGUGCUCGAGUGGCGAACGGGUGAGUAACACGUGAGUAACCUGCCCUUGACUUUGGGAUAACUUCAGGAAACUGGGGCUAAUACCGGAUAGGAGCUCCUGCUGCAUGGUGGGGGUUGGAAAGUUUCGGCGGUUGGGGAUGGACUCGCGGCUUAUCAGCUUGUUGGUGGGGUAGUGGCUUACCAAGGCUUUGACGGGUAGCCGGCCUGAGAGGGUGACCGGCCACAUUGGGACUGAGAUACGGCCCAGACUCCUACGGGAGGCAGCAGUGGGGAAUAUUGCACAAUGGGCGGAAGCCUGAUGCAGCAACGCCGCGUGCGGGAUGACGGCCUUCGGGUUGUAAACCGCUUUCGCCUGUGACGAAGCGUGAGUGACGGUAAUGGGUAAAGAAGCACCGGCUAACUACGUG
rnacentral:rRNA from 1 species